rfam:Bordetella ansorpii strain H050680373 genome assembly, contig: ERS1093620SCcontig000002
UGCUCCAUCGCAUGUGUUGCUGCUGUCGCAGCGCCAUGCCCGCAGCCAGGGUGUCCAGGCUGCCGUGGGGUCCGCCCACGCCACCCGCCAGUUCGCCUCGGCAUCUCACCGGCGAACGCUGCCCACCGGGGCACCGAUGC